AGUUUCUUUUCUGUGAUGUGAGUAUGGUUGAGCACUCAGUGUGUAGCGGUGUAUAGGGUGGUUUCAGUGGAGCUGUGUGCAAAGUGCAACAGUGUAAGAUAUUCCUUUUGAAGCGUUUAACGAAAGUUGUAUUAGAGCUCUGUUUCAAUCAAAUUGUUAUACGUGUGCAUCAGGAUGUGAUGAAAAGAGACGGAGCAACUAUGAUCUAUUACAUCUUGAAUUUGGUUGAUAAUUAAAAAUAAACAGAAGAGAAGACCACAGAACUUGUAAAGGUAGCUCUGAUGUGCUGUCAAUUCUUAUCAGUGAUCUUCAGAAAAGUAACAGCAUCUUUCAGCACUUUGUGUAAAAACGCAUUAUUAAUAGUGAAUUAUGGAUGGAAAAUAAAACAUAGUUUGAGGACUUAAUGCCGAUGUAUUGAAAAGACCUAAACACACUAAUAAGUUGUUAAAAUAAAUAACUAUAUAAAUAA